rnacentral:rRNA from 1 species
GAGUUUGAUCAUGGCUCAGGACGAACGCUAGCGGCAGGCUUAACACAUGCAAGUCGAGGGGUAACAGGGUAGCAAUACCGCUGACGACCGGCAAACGGGUGCGGAACACGUACGCAAUCUACCCUUAUCUGGGGCAUAGCCCGGAGAAAUCCGGAUUAACUCCCCAUAACAUACCAUAAUGGCAUCAUUGAGGUAUUAAAAUUCAUUGGAUAAGGAUGAGCGUGCGUCCCAUUAGCUAGUUGGUAGGGUAACGGCCUACCAAGGCGACGAUGGGUAGCUGGUGUGAGAGCACGACCAGCCACACGGGCACUGAGACACGGGCCCGACUCCUACGGGAGGCAGCAGUGAGGAAUAUUGGUCAAUGGACGCAAGUCUGAACCAGCCAUGCCGCGUGAAGGAUGAAGGCCUUCUGGGUUGUAAACUUCUUUUAUUGGGGAAGAAAAUUACGGUUUCUACUGUAACCGACGGUACCCAAGGAAUCAGCACCGGCUAACUCCGUGCCAGCAGCCGCGGUAAC